GGGGUUGUGGCUCAGUGGUGGAGCGCUCGCCCAGCAAGUGUGGGGCCCUGGGUUCAAUCCUCAGCACCACA
rnacentral:tRNA from 1 species